rnacentral:lncRNA from 1 species
GAGGCGCGGGCCGUGUGCCGCUGGGUGGCCCUGCGAGCCGCCGCUCUCCGCCUCUCUAGGCUCAGCUUCCAUCACCGCGUGGCGGAGCCCGUGUCCGGGCCAGUAUUUCUGCCUGUCACUUAUUAUCUGGUUGAGCUGGUGGCGGGAGUCCCGGCCCAUGUGUGUUACCAGAGGGAUGGUCUAGAGAAUGAAUCCAUCUGUCAGAGGCAUCCAAGAAGAAAGGCCUGGGCCAGGAUCACAUGGAAGACCCUGAAGACAGGAUCGGGUCUUGCCUGCCUGGAUUGAACAGAGACGCAGUGACCAGUCCCAUCUGCUCCCACCCUGCUGCCCUCUGAAUCGAGAGUUUGAGGCCAUGACCAGGGUAACGUUCAGCUGGUAGAGACAACACAACCCUGCUGGCUGUUUAAGCCAUGCUGGAGUGGUGCUCACAGGGUAACAAUUCUGAGUGAUGAACAGAAGCAGCACUUGAGCCAGACUCUGACCAAGAACUGCGGGCAGGCUAGAGCCACACAGAUCCCCGCCUCAGUAGACCGGCUGCAGCAGGAGUUCAAGUGCUACGGAUGCAAUAGCUCAGCGACUGGCAGCGCAGCACGUACCUGCUGUCGUGGGAGGUGAGAGCCACCAGUGCCCGACAGCGGCUGCAAGGCAGUGGUGGCGCUCUGCAGCCAGCCGGCCCACCCCUCCAACAUCUGCAAGGGGGUGGGAGGCUGCCUCACCAAGCUACCUGCUACUCAUGGGGGCGAUGGGCAUCAGGGUGGCCUGCCUGGAGGUGAGUUGCAGUUGGGAGAUUAGGAGGAAGGUAUGUUGCAGUUGGGAGAUUAGGAGGAAAUACUCACUCGGGAUAUUAAACUAGGCUCUGAACCCGUCUCCAGCGGCAGAUAUCUCCAGUAACUGGGCUGGCAUGUCCGUGCCCUGCGCUGCUCUCUUCUCUCAGCUUCCCUUUGCAACCAAGGCUGAUUCCCACAGUCAGUCUCUCCCCCAGAGAACAUGAAGGAAGAUGCCUGAGGGACAACAUUAACUUGUCAGGAACAGGGGCCUGGGAGGAGUGUGGAUGUGGGCUCAGGUACGGGCAUGCACCUUGAGUGUGUGCAUGUGGGGGUCAGUGUGCAAGCCUGCCGUGGUGUGUGUGGGUCCGUGGGGGUCCCCAUGUUCCCGGGUCUAUGUGGGUGGGGUGGUAUGCACUGUGUGUGUUUAGGGUGCUUGUGCAUGUGUGAGUGUGUACAUAUCUGCAUUCAUUCCUGUGUGUGUCUGCGUCUGUGUCUGUGUGUGUGUGUCUGUGUCUGUGGGUGUGUGUGUGUGUGUGUGUGGGUGUGUGUGUGUGUGUGUACCAUCAGCCCUCCAUAUCCACAGGUUCUGUAUCCUUGGAUUCAACCAACCAUGGAAUAAAAGUACUAACAAAAAGGA